rnacentral:lncRNA from 1 species
CUUAAAUAAACGCAUGAUAAAAUGCAUGUAUUCAGGAAUAGAAAUCUUUAGCUGCUUGGUCUCUUUGCGGUCGGUUUUGGAUCCACAGACAUUAUAUACCGAUCCCAGAAAUUGGGAUUUUGGAUAUACGCAGCUGAAGUUCAUUGAAGCGCCAUAAUCGAAACAACUGACACACAGUCGAUGUUUCAAGGAUGUAUAUGAUGUUAGAAAUUAUCUUCACUCUCCUGCUUGCCUGUGGUGUGUUUUUUGGGGGGUUAUUCUUUGUACGAGUAUAUCAGCAGAGCCCGGGUCAUAGUGAAGAAGAAGAUGAUAAUGGUGAUGAUGAUGA